rnacentral:rRNA from 1 species
CGGCAACAGCUCAAAUUUGAAAUCUGACUCCUUCGGGGUCCGAGUUGUAAUUUGCAGAGGAUGCCUCGGGUACGGGUACCUUCCGAGUUCCCUGGAACGGGACGCCAUAGAGGGUGAGAGCCCCGUCUGGUAGGAUACCUAGCCCGUGUGAGGCUCCUUCGAC